rnacentral:rRNA from 1 species
CGAACCUGGAGAUAGCUGGUUCUCUCCGAAAUAGCUUUAGGGCUAGCCUCAAGUGAUGAUUAUUGGAGGUAGAGCACUGUUUGGACGAGGGGCCCCUCUCGGGUUACCGAAUUCAGACAAACUCCGAAUGCCAAUUAAUUUAACUUGGGAGUCAGAACAUGGGUGAUAAGGUCCGUGUUCGAAAGGGAAACAGCCCAGACCACCAGCUAAGGUCCCAAAAUAUAUGUUAAGUGGAAAAGGAUGUGGCGUUGCCCAGACAACUAGGAUGUUGGCUUAGAAGCAGCCAUCAUUUAAAGAGUGCGUAAUAGCUCACUAGUCGAGUGACACUGCGCCGAAAAUGUACCGGGGCUAAACAUAUUACCGAAGCUGUGGAUUGUCCUUUGGACAAUGGUAGGAGAGCGUUCUAAGGGCGUUGAAGCAUGAUCGUAAGGACAUGUGGAGCGCUUAGAAGUGAGAAUGCCGGUGUGAGUAGCGAAAGACGGGUGAGAAUCCCGUCCACCGAUUGACUAAGGUUUCCAGAGGAAGGCUCGUCCGCUCUGGGUUAGUCGGGUCCUAAGCUGAGGCCGACAGGCGUAGGCGAUGGAUAACAGGUUGAUAUUCCUGUACCACCUAUAAUCGUUUUAAUCGAUGGGGGGACGCAGUAGGAUAGGCGAAGCGUGCGAUUGGAUUGCACGUCUAAUCAGUAAGGCUGAGUAUUAGGCAAAUCCGGUACUCGUUAAGGCUGAGCUGUGAUGGGGAGAAGACAUUGAGUCUUCGAGUCGUUGAUUUCACACUGCCGAGAAAAGCCUCUAGAUAGAAAAUAGGUGCCCGUACCGCAAACCGACACAGGUAGUCAAGAUGAGAAUUCUAAGGUGAGCGAGCGAACUCUCGUUAAGGAACUCGGCAAAAUGACCCCGUAACUUCGGGAGAAGGGGUGCUCUUUAGGGUUAACGCCCAGAAGAGCCGCAGUGAAUAGGCCCAAGCGACUGUUUAUCAAAAACACAGGUCUCUGCUAAACCGUAAGGUGAUGUAUAGGGGCUGACGCCUGCCCGGUGCUGGAAGGUUAAGAGGAGUGGUUAGCUUCUGCGAAGCUACGAAUCGAAGCCCCAGUAAACGGCGGCCGUAACUAUAACGGUCCUAAGGUAGCGAAAUUCCUUGUCGGGUAAGUUCCGACCCGCACGAAAGGCGUAACGAUUUGGGCACUGUCUCAACGAGAGACUCGGUGAAAUCAUAGUACCUGUGAAGAUGCAGGUUACCCGCGACAGGACGGAAAGACCCCGUGGAGCUUUACUGUAGCCUGAUAUUGAAAUUCGGCACAGCUUGUACAGGAUAGGUAGGAGCCUUUGAAACGUGAGCGCUAGCUUACGUGGAGGCGCUGGUGGGAUACUACCCUAGCUGUGUUGGCUUUCUAACCCGCACCACUUAUCGUGGUGGGAGACAGUGUCAGGCGGGCAGUUUGACUGGGGCGGUCGCCUCCUAAAAGGUAACGGAGGCGCUCAAAGGUUCCCUCAGAAUGGUUGGAAAUCAUUCAUAGAGUGUAAAGGCAUAAGGGAGCUUGACUGCGAGACCUACAAGUCGAGCAGGGUCGAAAGACGGACUUAGUGAUCCGGUGGUUCCGCAUGGAAGGGCCAUCGCUCAACGGAUAAAAGCUACCCCGGGGAUAACAGGCUUAUCUCCCCCAAGAGUUCACAUCGACGGGGAGGUUUGGCACCUCGAUGUCGGCUCAUCGCAUCCUGGGGCUGUAGUCGGUCCCAAGGGUUGGGCUGUUCGCCCAUUAAAGCGGUACGCGAGCUGGGUUCAGAACGUCGUGAGACAGUUCGGUCCCUAUCCGUCGUGGGCGUAGGAAAUUUGAGAGGAGCUGUCCUUAGUACGAGAGGACCGGGAUGGACAUACCUCUGGUGUACCAGUUGUCGUGCCAACGGCAUAGCUGGGUAGCUAUGUGUGGACGGGAUAAGUGCUGAAAGCAUCUAAGCAUGAAGCCCCCCUCAAGAUGAGAUUUCCCAACUUCGGUUAUAAGAUCCCUCAAAGAUGAUGAGGUUAAUAGGUUCGAGGUGGAAGCAUGGUGACAUGUGGAGCUGACGAAUACUAAUCGAUCGAAGACU